UGGUGAAAGUACACUGGACUCUGUAAAGGACCACAUCACAGAGUCCCUGCUGUGUCACUCUCUCCCUCCCUGCCACGGGUCCCAGUAUCCUCCUCUGAACAAUGAGGGGGUGAGUUCUGGGAACCCUCAGGCAGCCCCUGACACCAUGUGAUUUAGUCAAGCGCAGGGGAGGGACCAUAUGUUGGAGAGGUGCUCAGGUGAUAUCAGAUCCACAGGUGCAGGAGUAAAAGCUGACAAUAUGGAAUAAAUAUAAAUCAAGGCAGCUGAUCUGAGGCUUUAGGGUGAGAGAAAAAGGCCUGGAGGAGAAGGGGUUUGGUCCAUGCUCAGCACAAGGAGAUUGGAGAAUCGGGGGAGAUGGACCCUCCCAGACCCUGGAAAGGAUGUCAGGGACACUGCCCGUACCUGGAAGCUUGGAGGACGCAACCGGGGGCUCUGUGCCAGGCAGCCCUGGGAAGGCUGAGGGCGACAGGAGGAGGAGGCCUGCUGUGGGGUUGCAGUGGCCCCUCUGACCGCAGAAGCCCCAUGGUGGUACAGCUUAACCCAGGCCUGUGAGGGUUUCCCAGAGUUCCUACAGUUCUACGAAGUCAGUACUGCUGGACUCCCAUUUUACAGAUGAUGAAACUGAGGCACAGAAAGGUUAAGUAAUUGGGCCAUGGUCACCUGGCAGGUGAGUGGCAGAGCCUGGACAUAAAGCCAGAGGGUGUUCCAGAACCCGCACGCUCCGUGACUACACUAAUUAUAUUGCUUUUACUCUUGCCCCAAGGCCACAGGGUGCUCUGUGCUGUGCCCCCAGCCUCACUCUCACCAUCUGAAACCAUCUCCAGCUGCAGCCACCCAGCCUGGCUCCUGAGCUGGUGACCAGUGAGCACGACGUGAUGGCGUAGCCAAACGAGGCCAGAAACAGUCAAGUGCCUGGGUUCAAGCAUCAUGAAGAACCCACCCCCUCUUUCUCAAGCCAAUCCCUCCAUCACACAGAGAAAGCAAGGGCCCAACAAUGAAAUCCUCUUUCCUUUGCUGUCACGGAGAAACAUAAAUCAGCCCAUUCAAGUGGCCCCAAAAUGUCAAAGUUCCCACGUCUCUUUUCCCCAUUUUUGUCAUCCUGCUCAGUCCUAGCCAAAAGGAUUUCCCUCUAGUGCCUGAGGAAAGGAAGCUCCUUCCACCCCUGCAGUCUGGGUCCCCUUCCUGGACACUGGAGGGGACCUUCGGCCCCUGAGGGCACUGACAUCAAUCCCUCCCUCAGAGAAAGAACAUUCUCAGAACCAGACACAGUGGAGCCCCGUGGCAUUCUUGCUUGGACCCUGGCAGAAGUGCAGUAGUUACCCUGGGAGGGGAAGACGUGCCGGGCAGGGGCCAGGGGUGGGGAGUAUAAGCAAAGAAGAGAGAAUCUGCUUGGAAGCUGCCUUGCCAGGAGUCUGACAACCCCCUCACCCUGCAGAGCCCUGAGCUGUGGCUCCACCUUCCUGAGGGGUAGUUCCCCCGGGAGCUCGGGCUGCUGCUCAGGGUACCCACUGGUUUCUUGAGCCCCACGAGUCCCUGUGUUAACUUCCAAGCCCUCAGGGGCCCCGGGGACAAGCAGUGUGAUUUCUAUCCCACAAACCCCCCCCAAACCUUACCCUCCCCCAUCCUUCGGGUUCCCUAGGCCUUGAUCGCCACUCCCAUCUCCCACACAAAGUGCCAAAGUCCCUUUCCUGCUGCAGCAAGACCUGUCUUCUCCAGGAGCAGCAAACCAGUCCCCAACCCUCUCUAAGAAUCAGGAUAAAGGAGUGAGGGCACGGUGGAGCCACAGAACCGCACCCCUUGUCAACCCCCCAGAAGGCUCGGCCUGCCCCACUGGAAGCCCUGUCGUCUGAGUGGCCCAGGAGUCUCCUGAUCGCUGACAUUAUGGCCAGACAAGACUGCCCACAUCCGGUACAGAGUUGCCCUGUAGGGGUGGGGCACAGAUAUUUGUUGAUAAAUUGAAGGAGGAAGGCAGCCUGAAGGUCAGAGCAGAAAUAAAGGAGCAGCUGAAUGUAUGGCUGAGGACCCCUCGCUUGGGGGGACACUGGAGGGUGCUUGGGUGAUGGGAGCAUGGCAAGAAAGUCCCAGGCCAGGAGGACAACGGAGGCACAACUGAUGAGUGUCAGCGAUCGCGUGUGCUGGAACAGUACCUGGCGUCAAAGUGAACUCUCAGCCCGGAGCCGUGACACAUCCUCGGAAAGUGACAAGCACCAUAGGAAUGCUGAUGGCUCCUCAGUUCCGGCCAGAGAGCCAAGCUGGGAGGAGGCAGGAAGCCACAGAGAGAAAAGCUACGCAAGACGUGCGGCAAAGCUGUGGUGCUGACACUUCCAGAACAGAGAAGAGCCCUGAGGGACCCUUGCAAGACCUCCAUGGGUUCCAGCCACCCUUUGGGUCCAUUCUCAGUGAGAAGCUUUUCUCUCAUCCAGCUUCAUUCUGUGUUCUCAUAACGUACGACAGUUCUCUCCUCGGUGGGGUUAAACCACGACUGGCCAGCCUCCUUUUUUUUUUUUUUUUUUUUUUUUUGUGGUAUGCGGGCCUCCCUCUGUUGCGGCCUCUCCCGUUGCGGAGCACAGGCUCCGGACGCGCAGGCUCAGCGGCCACGGCUCACGGGCCCAGCCGCUCCGCGGCAUGCGGGAUCCUCCCAGACCGGGGCGCGAACCCGGUUCCCCUGCAUCGGCAGGCGGAUGCGCAACCACUGCGCCACCAGGGAAGCCCCAGCCUCCUUUGAGGAAGCCCCUUUGCAGCCCUGGACUCUUGAUCCCCUCUGUGGCCCACCACACCAAGCCCUUCUCAAGGCCACACACCCCAGGUCCCUUCCAUGGCAACACGAGUAGUUUAUACUCACUGGGCACCGUGGCCACUGUCUGCGCUGACACCUCCAGGCCUGGUCUCACUUGCUCUUCUGCGGGCCCCAGGAAGUAGCUGCUGCCAUUACCAUCACUGAUCCACAGUCGAAGAGAAUGAGGCUCUGACAGGCUGGGAACUUACCCAAGAUGCACAGCUGGUAAGUUCAGAGCCAGGAUUUGAAACCAGGUUUGUCCCGCUCUAGAGCCCAUGCUCUUAACUGCUGCAUUACAGCUCCUCCUCUCCUAUCAUCAUUCAGCAAAUAUUGGGGAGCAUCUCUUCCAGGCCAGACCAUGUGCUAAGCACUGAGGAUGGACCCACGAACAAGGCAGAGACAGAUGAGGCCCUGUGGAGCCGACACCCAGGCCCACCCAACGUGUGUGAGCCUGUUCUCCUGGGCCUGAGAGGCCUGUCGUGGUGGGAAUCAGUAGCACUGACCCUGUUCUCAGCCAAAGAGGCAUGUGAUUGUGGAUAAGCGGCAUGUCACAGAAGCAGGCUUCAGGCAGCUGCUGGUGCUGGGCCUCAAAGCCUUCUUGGGGCGUCUCCCAUACCUUAAGCUUGAACAUCAGUGGGCCUUCCUCCUGCGGGGCUGGCCUUCCUGGGGGGGCAAUCUUCCCCCAACAUCCUUCCCUUCGGCUCCCUCAACCAGACCUUGUUCCAGUUGGAAAAUGGGCCUGCAAAGCUGACCAGCUCCCCUACCUGCUGCCCUCCCACCUGAGGGGAACGUCGCUGGUCAGUAGGGCUGGGGGCUAGUGGAAGGCAGACAGAAAUACUGCGGGCUGAGGGACUGAAACCUGGCCAGGCGGCCUGCCCUCCCUCUCGGCAGAACAGCUGAGGGACCUGAGGUGGAGGGAAAGGAUGCCACCUCCCCCUGAGGGCUGCCUCGUGCCAGCAUCACACCAGGCAAGGAGCCACCCGUCUCUCUGACAGGUGGGUGUCCAGUGAGCCUCUGAUGGGAGGUGACCCCUGAGCCGGCAGCACCUCUCACGUGUGGUCUGGGGAGGCUUCUACCUCAUCAACACUGAUUCAGGACUUGGGGGGGGCGGGGGCCCAGGGACGUGGUUUUCACAAGCGCCCAGCUGAUUCUGAUGCACGCUCAGGUUUGAGAAGCAUGCACCAGAGGACGGGUGGGGAAGCUAAUGCAGACAGUGAGACCACCCAGGGCGCAAAUUCAUUAAUGUAGAAAUUGGAACCGUGUCUGUGCAUCAGAGGGAAAGGCUGGAAGACCCUCCCUGUGGCUCCCUCCGUGGGAUGGGAUCCUCUUCCCUCUCCAUCUGGUUAAUUUUCGCCUCUCUCUCAAACAUCACUCCUCAAGGAAGCCCCACCCCAGUAACCCCUGGGUCCCAGCUCCCUGUGGCCGUUCUUGUGAUUCUGUAUUUCUUUCUUGGAGCCCUAGUAUGGGUGGCACUAAAUGACUGCCGUUUGUAGGUCAAGUUCUGUGCCGCCCUAGAGAACGUAGGCUCCGAGAGGGCAGGGAUUUUCGCCUUGUUCACGGCUGCGUCCCCAGAACUCGCCCUGGGUUUGGCACGUAGUAGGCGCUCCUGGAUGUUUGUUGAAUGUGUGACUCAGGUUGCAAAGCUGGGAGACGUAAGUUCAGGUCGAAGGAAAGAAAUGUAGGAGACUGUGCCUUCUGGUCUGCAGGGCCUUUCCCCAUCCAGGAAUUGCUUGGCCCAUGUAGGAUUUUCACAGGGCAGUGGAAUCCUCCUGCCAUGGAAUCAGCUCACCUACCUCCUUGCAUCCAAGCCCUUCUGCUGUUCUUCUCAAAGAUCCCUGCAAAUGAAAGUUCCUCAGCUCUCCUUCCAUGUUAUUCCUUCCAUGCUCUUUGCUAUUAGGGAAGUUCUCCUCUGAGUCUGACUCCUGUGUUUCCUAUGCCAUUUUUACCGCCCUUUCCCUCCUCUUGAACACAGACUCUAACGUUACCAGAACUAGAUAGGACCUUAGACAGGACCAAAGAAAGUAGCUUUCAAGUCUUUUUUUUUUUUUUCCUAAGCAGGAAAAGCUCUUUUCCAAAAAAAUCAGAAUCUGAAUCCUAAAAUGUGAGGCCGACAAAAGGGGAGCAGCUCUGAUUUUUUAGGGGGUGGAACCCCUCCCAGGGCACCCCCAGGAGCUCCAAGGUACCCAACUUGAAAACCAGUGAUAGAUCUAAGCCUGACACUUUGUGAAUGAGCAAAUCCAGAGACGGGAAGUGAUCUGCCUCAGACAGGAUCACAAUCCAAGUCUUUCCUGCCUGAAGUUCACAGCCAGCGUUGUUGGACCUCGGCCCUCGGUGAAAAAGGCAACAUUUGGGUUGCUCUGCAG